rnacentral:tRNA from 1 species
GCUGCUGUAGCUCAGUUGGUAGAGCGCGUCCUUGGUAAGGACGAGGUCACCGGUUCAAUCCCGGUCAGCAGCU